CUCCACUCACACAGGUAACAGGCUGCAGCAGGAGCAAGGAGGUGAAGGAAGGAGCCGGUACAGGACAGGUCGUCUGAUGGCUCUCAGUCGUCGUGGAUACACUGCCGGACCAGUGGAUCGGUCUGAUGACGACUCCUUCCCUCCUCAAUUUUCUCUCCUCAAUCUUAACCAUCCGAGCUCCGUAGAAACUGUCGCCACAGAUCCCUGGAUGCGGCCAGGAACAUCGGACACACUGAAAUGUUCGGACCGUCCAUCAAGGAGGGAGUGGUUGGCAACAUAGGACCGACCCUGUUGCUCAAACCUGAGAGGUUCCUCGUACUUUUGGAAGUCAGUUGUAGCACAGACUUCCCUGUCUUUGAAUUAUGAGACUAGGACGGGUUUUAACUCGUGGCUUUUGUGACAAAUGGAUGCCAGUAUGAAUGACAAAUGAUACCUGUUAUGUACUUUUAUUUGACCAAUGACUAAAUUAUGUUUUAAAUAAAUGUAUAAUUAUAAACUGUA